GAGCUACUCCCUCCAUUCGGAAUUACUCGUCCAAUAAAUGAAUGUAUCUAGAUGUAUUUUAGUUGUAGAUACAUCCAUUUUUGUGACAAGUAAUUCCGAACGAAGGGAGUACAUA
rnacentral:pre_miRNA from 1 species